rnacentral:rRNA from 1 species
UACGGAGGGUGCAAGCGUUAUCCGGAUUCACUGGGUUUAAAGGGUGCGUAGGCGGGCAGGUAAGUCAGUGGUGAAAUCUCAGGGCUUAACCCGGAAACUGCCGUUGAUACUAUCUGUCUUGAAUAUCGUGGAGGUAAGCGGAAUAUGUCAUGUAGCGGUGAAAUGCUUAGAUAUGACAUAGAACACCCAUUGCGAAGGCAGCUUACUACACGAUCAUUGACGCUGAGGCACGAAAGCGUGGGGAGCAAACAGG